ACUAAACGACACAAGGAUAACAUAAUUUUAUAAGUGUUUACAUUGCCUGACUCAGAGGAUCAGCAGGAAGUAAGAACACAGACAGAAGAAUAUUAGACUACGAUGUGGAAUACAGUCGAAAAGCUCAUUACUGAGCUGUGUUAUGGAAAAGGAUGCUUCCCCACUGAGCCAGCUGCUGAUGGCUGCUGGAAUCCUCCUAAAUAGUUUGAAUGACCGGAGUGGAAGAAGCCUCUCAACCCUGAACCUGCAAUCAGACUGUGUGCAGGGUCAGCGCUCCGUGCCGAACAUUGUUGCCAUGUGUCGCCUGUGAUCACGUCUGGCACU